rnacentral:rRNA from 1 species
UACGGAGGAUGCGAGCGUUAUCCGGAUUUAUUGGGUUUAAAGGGUGCGCAGGCGGCACGGCAAGCCGGCGGUCAAAUCGUGGGGCUCAACCCCGCCCAGCCGUCGGAACUGCCGGGCUAGAGUGGGCGAGAAGUGCGCGGAAUGCGUGGUGUAGCGGUGAAAUGCAUAGAUAUCACGCAGAACUCCGAUUGCGAAGGCAGCGCACCGGCGCCCUACUGACGCUCAGGCACGAAAGCGUGGGUAUCGAACAGG